rnacentral:rRNA from 1 species
AUUGAACGCUGGCGGCAUGCUUUACACAUGCAAGUCGAACGGUAACAGGUUAAGCUGACGAGUGGCGAACGGGUGAGUAAUGCAUCGGAACGUGCCCGGUCGUGGGGGAUAACGCAGCGAAAGCUGCGCUAAUACCGCAUACGAUCUGAGGAUGAAAGCGGGGGACCGUAAGGCCUCGCGCGAUCGGAGCGGCCGAUGUCAGAUUAGGUAGUUGGUGGGGUAAAGGCUCACCAAGCCAACGAUCUGUAGCUGGUCUGAGAGGACGACCAGCCACACUGGGACUGAGACACGGCCCAGACUCCGACGGGAGGCAGCAGUGGGGAAUUUUGGACAAUGGGCGAAAGCCUGAUCCAGCAAUGCCGCGUGCAGGAAGAAGGCCUUCGGGUUGCAAACUGCUUUUGUACGGAGCGAAAAGGUCUCCUCUAAUACAGGGGGCUCAUGACGGUACCGUAAGAAUAAGCACCGGCUAACUACGUGCCAGCCGCCGCGGUAA